UACGUAGGGUGCGAGCGUUAAUCGGAAUUACUGGGCGUAAAGCGUGCGCAGGCGGUUUUGUAAGCCAGAUGUGAAAUCCCCCGGGCUUAACCUGGGAAUGGCAUUUGGGACUGCAAGGCUCGAGUGCGGCAGAGGAGACUGGAAUUCCCGGUGUAGUGGUGAAAUGACGUAGAUAUCGGGAGGAACACCAGUGGCGAAGGCGACUUCCUGGACUGUCCCUGACGUGAGGCGCGAAAGCGGUGGGUG
rnacentral:rRNA from 1 species